AUAUGUGGUUUUAGCGGAUUUGGGACCAUAUGAUCAGCCCCUUGCCACUCUGGAGAGUGGUACAUAUCUCUGAGGUAGAAAUGACCUAAUUUGUUGUAGGAACCUUUCUUCCAAUACAUUCCCAUUACAUAUCGGUCUGCAUCCUCGGGGCCAGGAUGUUCAAUAUUUAACAUUAAUUUCAUAGGGGUACUUCCUCCAGGCUUUCUUAGUCAUUCUUUGAAGGAGGGAUCUACCCUGAUUGUCUAUCUUAGAUAAAGCACUUUUGGGUUUAUAACCCCAGGCAGGCCCAGUAUUCCAUCCCGCAGCCCCCCAGUAGUUACAGUCAUAACCCCAUUGUUCAUCUACUACACAAACGUAAGGGUCUUUUGCUUGUGGUAUAUCUUUAUAAAUGGCUUGAAUCUGUGACUUAGG